rnacentral:lncRNA from 1 species
CGUAAAAGGCCCCAUGGCUGCUCCUUGGGUCCCUGCAGGCCCAGCGCUCUCUGCAGCUCGCCAGCCUGGCUGUUAUGUCAAGGUGGCCAGGACAAGACUGAAGACAGUCUUCCCACAAGGCUUUAUUUACAAAAACAGGUGCGGGCUGGACGUGGCUGCGAGCCAUGGAUGGCUGACCCUGCUGACCCAUCACAGCACGGGAUGUUCCCUGGAGCGCCAGGUACCUGCUAAGAGCUGUGUGACAGAGCUGCUUGUUUCCAGAUUAAGGGGUGACAGCUCUGCCCAGGAUCUGCUCUUUAUGCCACGGGUUCCUUCAUGAUUUGAAUAAUUCAAGACCUAUUUCCCGCAGCCCAGGCAGGCCGGCUGGUUCGGCACCGGCUGCGACCAAGCUGCCGUGGCAGACCAGCACCCCCCCAGGUCAUGCAGACAGCAGUGGGCCAAGACGCAAUUCUUGACACAUUUUGAACGUUUUCAUGGGGGAAGUGUGCAUGAGUUUAAAAUUUGCAUGAAAGGAGGCUUUCUGAACAUUUUUAUGCCACAUUUUCUCCAAAGCUGAAAUCAUUCAGAGUGGACCGCCCACCAGCUGGUGUCCCACAUCCUGUGGGUCCUGCGGCACCCACUUUGGGAGCCAUCAGUCUGGCAUUCGGCAGCAACAAAGCCCCGAGUCAGACCUGCUCCUGGGAGCCCCUGGCAGAGCCCCCAGUGGUGCUGCGCCUCCUCCCUCCCACUCCUUGCUGCAGCCCCGUCACUCCAGGGGUCGGUGGGGGGGGGGCCUGUGCUGAUCUCAGCUGAU